AUUGAACGGCUGGCGGCAGGCCUAACACAUGCAAGUCGAACGGUAACAGGAAGCAGCUUGCUGCUUUGCUGACGAGUGGCGGACGGGUGAGUAAUGUCUGGGAAACUGCCCGAUGGAGGGGGAUAACUACUGGAAACGGUAGCUAAUACCGCAUAACGUCGCAAGACCAAAGAGGGGGACCUUCGGGCCUCUUGCCAUCGGAUGUGCCCAGAUGGGAUUAGCUAGUAGGUGGGGUAAAGGCUCACCUAGGCGACGAUCCCUAGCUGGUCUGAGAGGAUGACCAGCCACACUGGAACUGAGACACGGUCCAG
rnacentral:rRNA from 1 species